UUAACUAUUAUAUAGUACUCAGACAUCACUAAACAAAAGAGUUGGGUCCUCUGGCAAGCACUAUCAGCCGAAGCCGACGCCCGAAGGCGGCCUGCCAAAGCAACAAAGGUAAGGUAGACACGGGUUUAGAAGGACUCCGCCCGGAGGCGAAGUUUCUUUAAUGAUCCUUCCGCAGGUUCACCUACGGAGA
rnacentral:misc_RNA from 1 species